UACAGAGGGUGCAAGCGUUAAUCGGAAUUACUGGGCGUAAAGCGCACGUAGGUGGCUUGAUAAGUUGGGUGUGAAAUCCCCGGGCUUAACCUGGGAAUUGCAUUCAAGACUGUCUUGCUAGAGUGUGGAAGAGGGAAGCGGAAUUCCAGGUGUAGCGGUGAAAUGCGUAGAUAUCUGGAGGAACAUCAGUGGCGAAGGCGGCUUCCUGGUCCAACACUGACACUGAGGUGCGAAAGCGUGGGGAGCGAACAGG
rnacentral:rRNA from 1 species